CCAACGGCCCUCUUUAGGGCCACAAUGAAGUGAUUCGAGUACUUU
rfam:Dictyocaulus viviparus strain HannoverDv2000 D_viviparus-1.0_Cont428.7, whole genome shotgun sequence.